rnacentral:lncRNA from 1 species
CAGAAAUGCAGUGUGAAGGGGAUCAACAUUUUUAAAAAAAUGACAUGUCUUAGGUACUACCUGGGAAAUUUUGAGUGCCCUGUGGCUCGGCUAUGAGGUGUUUCAGGCUUGUUCAUUCUUUCUGGGACACUCUGUAUAACUUUGUGUUUGGCACAGCAUGGCACAGGUGGCCCUUGUACCACAAACUCUUACAAAAACAAACAAAAAUAAAAAUUUGUUAUGGUCCAGAAUUAAAUCAAGUUUUAUCAAUAAAAUUACUAUAGCAUCAGAUGAAUUUCCACUUUUGAAUAUUUUAACUGAGAAUUUUCAUGGCAAAACCAAGCAGUUUAGUACUGUUACUGUUCAGUUCAAUAUCAUUAAUAAAUACACUCUAUUGGAACACACCAUUAAAAAUAAUGAUC